UACAGAGGUCCCAAGCGUUGUUCGGAUUCACUGGGCGUAAAGGGUGCGUAGGUGGUCGGGUAAGUCUGAUGUGAAAUCUCCGAGCUUAACUCGGAAACUGCAUCGGAUACUAUUCGGCUCGAGGGUUGGAGGGGGGACUGGAAUGCUUGGUGUAGCAGUGAAAUGCGUAGAUAUCAAGAGGAACACCAGUGGCGAAGGCGAGUCCCUGGACAACACCUGACACUGAGGCACGAAAGCCGGGGGAGCAAACAGG
rnacentral:rRNA from 1 species